rnacentral:tRNA from 1 species
CUAUCGGAUCGUUUUAGAAACAUCAGUGGCCAACGGUCGUCAGGAUCGUUGAGCUGCAUUGGCGGGAUUUCGCCGUCUUCGUUUCUCUUUCUUCGCGGACGAACACGCGCUGGGCCUGCAUGGUUGCAGGAUCCCGGUCCUUAACUGGAUAUGCGUUAGGGGCUUGUAGCUCAGUUGGUUAGAGCGCGCGCUUGAUAAGCGUGAGGUCGGAAGUUCAAGUCUUCCCAGGCCCACCACACUCAUCGAGUGAGCAUUCGUCUUCUGGUUACGGGGCCAUAGCUCAGCUGGGAGAGCGCGUGCUUUGCAAGCAUGAGGUCGUCGGUUCGAUCCCGUCUGGCUCCACCAGAUGGUUUGAUCACCAACAACUCAACCGUCGUCCGCGAAACAUCACUUCGCACCCACUAGUCCGGAUGGACAGUGACGUGCGUGAUUUCUGACAUCGUAAAGAGGAGAUCGAUCCGAGUUGGAUCGUGCAGAAGAUUUCUGCGCGGUACUCCAUUAUCUCCGGAUCAUUUCGGCGCUCGUGCGUCUUCCAAGGUAGCUCACAAGGUUGCAUUGAAAGACAAGCGAGUUGUAAAUGAUCCUUUUAGCGAAGCUUGACCGCCUCGCUAUCGGAACGAUCUUACGAAGCAAGCUGGUCUUUCUAAUCAUUGUCCGGCUGUACGUAGCGUUCAUCGAGGACGCGCGCCGCAAGGCAAUCGUACAGACAACAUUCUGCCGAGUGUGUGGACAUUGAUAAUGAGAG